UAUAAUGUUAUUAAUAAUUAACAAAUUUUUAUAUAUUGUUUGUUUACUUUUCAAAAAAUUUAAUAAAACCUAUGGUAUAUUAACUCUUUGCGUGUGUAUAUAUAUAUAUAUAUAUAUAUAUAUAUAUAUAUAUAUUUUUUUUUUUCUUAAGAAUAAUUGGUACAAAAAAAAGUGAAGCUAUGUUUGCGGAUGAAGUGAAAAAAGAUUGAUCUUACAUAUAGUGCCUAUAGAAGGCUCUGGCUUACCUUCACGUGGUGUCUAUUGUUAAAAAUGAUUUACUUAGUUUCAUUGAAAUUUUAAAUAAUAUCAUUUACUAAAAGCCAAGGCAUAAAUUUAUAUAUUUUGUAUUUUAAAACUUUUUAAAAUAUAAGUUUUAAAACUUUGGUUAAUUUUUAGGGUGGAUACUCAAACUUGCAUCUUGUAAUGUGGUUGGAGAAGACUGAGAGGAAGGGGGAGGGGCGCUAAGGGUGGUAUCGUCCCGCCCCUAAUUUCAAUUUAUGCACCACUUGUAUAUGCUGUUAUGUAAAAAAAUAUAAUUUAAACUUUUUAACAUAAAAUAAUGUGUUAAAAAGUUGUUUUUCAGGUUCAAAUAUUUAUAAGAUAGUAACAUUUCACUACGAGGGUGUUAAAACGUAACAAGAGCAUCCACCCUUUAAUCUAAAAUAUACCACUAAUAUUUGGAAAUGUAAUGGAAGCAAAUUAGAACAACUUUUUGUGUAUUAAGAUAACAAAUUUUAUCAGAAAAAUACACUUUCGUGUGAAAAA